rnacentral:rRNA from 1 species
GAUGAACGCUGGCGGCGUGCUUAAUACAUGCAAGUCGAACGAGGAGUUCAAGUAGUAAUACUAGGAUUUCCUAGUGGCGAAUGGGUGAGUAACGCGUUGGUGACCUGCCCCGAAGAGAGGGAUAACAGUUCGAAAGGACUGCUAAUACCUCAUGUGGUCAUAACGGUUAGAGGCGUUAUGUCUAAAGGAGCAAUCUGCUUCGGGAGGGGCCUGCGUCCCAUCAGCUAGUUGGUAGGGUAAUGGCCUACCAAGGCUACGACGGGUAGGGGACCUGAGAGGGUGACCCCCCACACUGGCACUGAAACACGGGCCAUACACCUACGGGUGGCA